rnacentral:rRNA from 1 species
UACGGAGGGUGCAAGCGUUAUCCGGAUUCACUGGGUUUAAAGGGAGCGCAGGCGGCUUUGUAAGUCAGUGGUGAAAGGCUUAAGCUUAACUUGGGAACUGCCAUUGAUACUAUAAGUCUUGAAUGUUGUUGAGGUUUGCGGAAUGGGUCAUGUAGCGGUGAAAUGCAUAGAUAUGACCCGGAACACCUAUUGCGAAGGCAGCAGGCUAAACAAAUAUUAACGCUGAGGCUCGAAAGCGUGGGGAUCAAACAGG